CUCUUUCAUAUUGAAAGAUCCCCGAAGGAAGACCCUCACUCAAGUCUCGGGAAGUCAAGGACCCCAGACACACGAGAAACC
rnacentral:pre_miRNA from 14 species